rnacentral:rRNA from 1 species
UACGAAGGGGGCUAGCGUUGUUCGGAAUCACUGGGCGUAAAGCGCACGUAGGCGGACGCUUAAGUCAGGGGUGAAAUCCCGAGGCUCAACCUCGGAACUGCCUUUGAUACUGGGUGUCUUGAGUCCGGAAGAGGUGAGUGGAACUGCGAGUGUAGAGGUGAAAUUCGUAGAUAUUCGCAAGAACACCGGUGGCGAAGGCGGCUCACUGGUCCGGAACUGACGCUGAGGCACGACAGCGUGGGGAGCAAACAGG